UUCUAUAGAACCGGUUGAUCUGUCCCCGUACCCACACACACACACACACACACACACACAGCCAGUCGAGGGUUAAGGAAACACUUUGGAACGCACCCAGGUCUUAUCUCCGACUUGGCAGCGAUAGACACACCGUCUGCCAAGUGACUUUAUUUUCAAAGUAAAACAAAAAGAUAAAUACUCAAGAGUCCCAAAUGUCUGACACUUUAAAUCUUUCUCUCAGCAGCUCCGGACGAGGCUUUAGUGACUAUUCAAGGUUUGCUUUGUUCGUCACAAGGAUCCUUUGACCUCUACCCUCUAUUAUAUAGUCUCUGGGGUGUGGUCCAGUGACUCAGUUCUAAUCCCUAGCACGCCUCCCAAGCUGCUGCAAACGUUUAUCACGCCUUCGGAGGCGUGCGUCCAGGAAUGAUGUUUCAUUAUCUCUUUGAUUCGAAUCAGCUGUCUCCUCUCCCUCGACCGGCACUUGAGACAAUGCCAGAGGGGAGGGGCCUGGAGAGGGAGGCCUGGCUGACUCCUCUUCCUCAUGCUCGGAGCUUUCUUCCUCCGAUGGGACAGGCUCAGAGGGCGGGGCCACAACACCGGUAGUAAAAUUGGCGGGAGGCCCCGCCCACUGACCCUGGUGUCAUGAAAAUGCUGCUGUGCAUGCGCAGAAGAGUGCACGCGUGAGUGGCCCCAUUGUGAACCGGUAGUAAAGGUCUGUAUAAAUACCUGCAUUAGGAAAAAAAAGAGGCUAUUUCUCAACAUGUUAAAGAAGAAUGAAAUCCCACAUGUUGAAAAAGUGAUGGUUUAUAACGGAUGCGUAAAUUAGACUUCCGGCUUUCACAGUCUUUCUGGAAAGGAAAACGUUUUGUGUCAUAAAAACCAGACAAUCAUAUUUAACAGAAUUUUAUCUGAACAUUUAUUAUUCUCUUAUAUACAGUCUCAUAAGAAGAAUUACGAGAUACUCUGUAUUAGUAUUAUAUUAAUAAACAGAGCUGAUGUAAUAUCAUACUAUAA